AGUGAACGCUGGCGGUAGGCCUAACACAUGCAAGUCGAACGGCAGCACAGUAAGGGCUUGCUCUUACGGGUGGCGAGUGGCGGACGGGUGAGGAAUACAUCGGAAUCUACUUUUUCGUGGGGGAUAACGUAGGGAAACUUACGCUAAUACCGCAUACGACCUACGGGUGAAAGCAGGGGAUCUUCGGACCUUGCGCGAUUGAAUGAGCCGAUGUCGGAUUAGCUAGUUGGCGGGGUAAAGGCCCACCAAGGCGACGAUCCGUAGCUGGUCUGAGAGGAUGAUCAGCCACACUGGAACUGAGACACGGUCCAGACUCCUACGGGAGGCAGCAGUGGGGAAUAUUGGACAAUGGGCGCAAGCCUGGUCCAGCCAUACCGCGUGGGUGAAGAAGGCCUUCGGGUUGUAAAGCCCUUUUGUUGGGAAAGAAAAGCAGCAGGUUAAUACCCCGCUGUUCUGACGGUACCCAAAGAAUAAGCACCGGCUAACUUCGUG
rnacentral:rRNA from 1 species